rnacentral:rRNA from 1 species
UGGGGAAUAUUGCACAAUGGAGGGAACUCUGAUGCAGCGACGCCGCGUGAGUGAUGAAGGAAUUCGUUUCGUAAAACUCUGUUCUAUGGGAAGAAAAGGACUGUACCAUAGGAGAAAGCUCCGGCUAAAUACGUGCCAGCAGCCGCGGUAAUACGUAUGGAGCGAGCGUUGUCCGGAAUUAUUGGGCGUAAAGGGUGCGCAGGCGGCUUUACAAGUUGAUGUGAAAUAUUGUGGCUCAACCACAAACGUGCAUCCAAAACUGCAAAGCUUGAGUUAAGGAGAGGUAAGUGGAAUUCCUGGUGUAGCGGUGGAAUGCGUAGAUAUCAGGAGGAAUACCGGUGGCGAAGGCGACUUACUGGACUUAAACUGACGCUCAGGCACGAAAGCGUGGGGAGCAAACAGG